CCUACGGGUGGCUGCAGUAGGGAAUAUUGCUCAAUGGGCGAAACCCUGAAGCAGCAACGCCGCGUGGAGGAUGAAGGUUUUAGGAUUGUAAACUCCUUUUGUGAGAGAAGAUAAUUACGUUAUCUCACGAAUAAGCACCGGCUAACCCCGUUCCAGCAGCCGCGGUAAUACGGCGGGUGCAAGCGUUACUCGGAAUCACUGUGCGUAAAGCGUGCGCAGGCGGGCUUGUAAGUCAGAUGUGAAAUCCUGUAGCUUAACUACAGAACUGCAUUUGAAACUAUGGGUCUAGAGAGUGGAAGAGGUAGGUGGAAUUAUUGGUGUAGGGGUAAAAUCCGUAGAUAUCAAGAGGAAUACGCAUAGCGAAGGCGACCUACUGGAACAUGACUGACGCUCAUGCACGAAAGCGUGGGGAGCAAACAGGAUUAGAUACCCCAGUAGUC
rnacentral:rRNA from 1 species